CAGGAGGAUCCAAGCGUUAUCCGGAAUCAUUGGGUUUAAAGGGUCCGUACGUGGACGAUUAAGUCAGAGGUGAAAUCCUGCAGCUCAACUGUAGAAUUGCCUUUGAAACUGGUUGUCUUGAAUCAUUGUGAAGUGGUUAGAAUAUGUGGUGUAGCGGUGAAAUGCAUAGAUAUCACAUAGAAUACCGAUUGCGAAGGCAGAUCACUAACAAUGUAUUGACACUGAUGGACGAAAGCGUGGGGAGCGAACAGGAUUAGAUACCCUGGUAGUCCACGCCGUAAACGAUGGAUACUAGCUGUACGGACUUCGGUCUGUGUGGCUAAGCGAAAGUGAUAAGUAUCCCACCUGGGGAGUACGUUCGCAAGAAUGAAACUCAAAGGAAUUGACGGGGGCCCGCACAAGCGGUGGAGCAUGUGGUUUAAUUCCAUGAUACGCGAGGAACCUUACCAGGGCUUAAAUGUAGAUUGACAGGUUUAGAGAUAGACUUUCCUUCGGGCAAUUUACAAGGUGCUGCAUGGUUGUCGUCAGCUCGUGCCGUGAGGUGUCAGGUUAAGUCCUAUAACGAGCGCAACCCUUGUUGUUAGUUGCCACCAGGUCAUGUUCGGAACUCUACCAAGACUGCCAGUGCAAACUGUGAGGAAGGUGGGGAU
rnacentral:rRNA from 1 species